CGGACGGGUGAGUAAUGUCUGGGAAACUGCCUGAUGGAGGGGGAUAACUACUGGAAACGGUAGCUAAUACCGCAUAACGUCGCAAGACCAAAGAGGGGGACCUUCGGGCCUCUUGCCAUCGGAUGUGCCCAGAUGGGAUUAGCUAGUAGGUGGGGUAAUGGCUCACCUAGGCGACGAUCCCUAGCUGGUCUGAGAGGAUGACCAGCCACACUGGAACUGAGACACGGUCCAG
rnacentral:rRNA from 2 species